rnacentral:lncRNA from 7 species
GCACCACACCAGUCUUCUAUCAAGCCCCAAAUGAAGUAUGUAAGGAUAAGCCAGGGAGAGCUUGAUUAAUCAUGGAAGAACAAGUUCUUUACUCCAACUUUUGCCAGUCAAAGAAGGCCCUGAAGAUAAGUGAACUGCUGCAAUUCAUUUACCCUGCAGACCCUUGGGGAAGACGACUGACAAGGGUGUGGCUAUAAGGAUAUGCCUGCCAAACCCUGAAACAUGGAAGUUUAACUGCCUACGGGUUGGAUAAUGCCUUAAUUUCCAGGAAGCGUCUCUGCUAUUACCCUAUAGCCACAAAAGGAGAAAUCUUGUCUUGCUUUCUUCUAUCAGAACCUGUUCAUACACACACAAAAGAAGAAUUUCACUGUAAUGCUUCAGAAGUUGUUAGAAAAGGUUGAUCUUUCAUUUUCUAAUCUAGUGCUACAUAUAGGCCAGUCUUAUUAUAAAUGUUUACUCCUAAAAAUCCAUCAUUGGACUUCAGUAGAUUCUUCGUAUAGACAGCUUAUUACAAUAGUACUCAUGUCGUUCUUGUAACAUGACUGUGGCCACACACCCUGCACAAAACACUGUGGUACUAUUUUUAUAGGCUCUUUCUUUUUCGCAACCAAAGACAUUGGCCCUGGUUUGCACUGAUAGUUGUGUAGGGCAGAAAGAAAGAAAUCUUCUGCCAAGAAUCUGCCUGUUUUAGCUCCAAAUUUAUUUUCAUGCCUUGUAAAGCCAAGGAUCAUUUGAAGACUAUCUCCAAACUCCCAGGAGAAAGAAAAGUGCCUGGUGGCUUGUAAAUAUAGCCUAGUAAAAUAGAUAGGAUUUUGUUUUACACUCUGUAAACAUGUGUACAUUGUGCUUGGUUUGCAAAUGUGCACAGAAUUCUCUCUCCUUUUCUCUUUCUCUCUUUUUCUUUCUAACAUUGGAGAUGUGUUCAACUUGAAUAAGGCUAAGCAGUCAGAAGAUUUUCUACAUGUGCUGGAGUGUUUCCCAAAAUCUGUCUUAAAUCCCACAAUAAGCAACACUGUGAGAAAAAAUUAAUUCAAGAACAUUGUGAUGAUAAUAAGGAUAUAGCUUCAUAACAAUAACAAAAAAAGCCACUGGAGAAAGUGUAGCUGGCAGUAACCUCAGGGCCCACAUCAUGUUACUGUGGCCACAAAAC